CGCGCGGUUCAGGCAGCGUGGAUGUUCAGUACGCCGGGGCUACCGUAGCAGAGGCAUGACGUGAUUGGCCACCACCUCGCCGCGAACACGAACCUGUCUGGACUCGUGCCGCCGCGGCCGGGCCAGCUCCCCCAUCACGCCUCCUCCCCAUCCUAGACUUGACGGCUGAUGGGUCGCUGAUGCCUCAGGUGGCUCCUGGGCGAGAGGGCUCUCUGUAGUCCGCGCCGGCAUGCAGUUUGGUUGACCGUGGAUUGCAUUUCACUUUGACGACUAGGAGGGUCACCUCUCGCUAUAGUGCAGCUCGGCUGGCUCUCUGUUGCAGCUCCUCCGGCCAGGUGUUCGCGGUUCUGUUUGAAAGUGUUUUGCAUAGUUUUCGGUUCAGGGCUUCUUUUGUGCAGUUCAUUGCUUUUUCUUUGAAAAUUGCAGGCGCGCAGGCUACAAUCUGACGGCCAUCGAUGGUCACAUGUCGGACGAGCCCAGCCGUGCAGUAUGCCAGAGCAGGUUGUAGAGUACUUUUUGAAAAUUUCUGUAGUUUAUUUGUUAUAGAUGCGCGAUUCACUUCUUCAGCCACCUCUUUCUUGCUGUUCACUUGUCGGGAUAGAGAAGUACGGUGGUGUUGCAGAGAUAUUGGAGCAGAUGAGAGAAUAACCUUGAAGUUGAGUGGUUUGUAAUAGGAAGUGUGCUCGACGGUGCAGUCAGGGUCAAUCAGCUCCAUGAGCCGUGCGAUGUCCUUGUCACUGAGGGAGGAGUACAACUCGUGAAUCACAUCUGUCAGGGGGGAAGAUGGUAAGGCAUUAACUCCAUCUCCAUGGAAAGCUUUGUUGAGACCACAGCUGGUUGCUUUUGGCCCUGGUAUUGAUCGUAUGGGCUUUGGCGAACAUUGUUGGCUCUUCCCCCACUUGGCGCUUAUCUUGUGUCGCCGGGACAAGAGGCGCUGUUUAGGGUUGAGAGAGGGAGACUGGAAGGAGACAAGUGUGAGGGCAGAAAUCAUGGCGUCUGGGUGUUUGAUGAAUGCAGAAAGAUGGCCAAGGCAUAGGGGGAUGAGGUGUGAUAUAGCAGCGUUGGUGGGCAUUUUUCGGUUGCUUGGUGGUCAGACAAGGAAUCUGACUGAGUACAUACAUAUAUAUGGAUGGAAUAAUUCGCGUGGUGGUGCAUUGCUAAAGCAUAAAGAUUCGUUACGAUAUGAAGUAAGGAAUAUCUUCCUACAUACUCCUCCCUCAUAAUAAUGUACAGAGCCAGGGCAGGCGAGGCCAAUCAGUAAUAAGAAAAGAAGAGAAGCGAAGAGAAGAGGUCACUUGCGGAAGAAGCCUAAGACUGCCUUCUUGGUUGGCGGCUUGUACGCCUUGGUCGACUUGCCGAUAGCUUUCUUGGUGGCAGCAGAAAGCUAUAUACAACUUUUUAAUUUGCUCUGUGAAAAACCGACUAGGAAGUUCACUACAUUCAUCUUUUUCAUUUUUUUGGAAAAGAAGUUCAUUUUGUUGUUUGAGAAAAUGAGGAGAGGAAAUGAGUAAAAAAUGGA